rnacentral:misc_RNA from 1 species
AUUCGGCAAAAUCGAUAUGGUAUCUCAUAAUCGGGGACUUUCCUCUAUUAAUUAGUAUUUUAAUUAAUAUAUCACGAGCUUACAAUUAAUCAUAAGAAUAUAUCAAAUAUCUACAAUUAUUAUACGAGCUCUUGAGCAUUCACAUUAGGAUUUAUAUCGAUAUUAUUGAAUACUAAAAUUCAUUAUAAGAAGAUAAUUAAAACAUUAUCGUAUAGAAAAUCGGUGAUUCACAAAACAUGUAGAGAAGUAAAUAUUUAUAUUCAAAAACAUGUGCGUGCUUUCCAAAAAACAAAAUUUUUAAAUAGAUAUAUUUCAGGUCACCAAUAUAAUGAAGUAAGUAUAUAUGUACAGACAGCGAUUUACCAUACAUUACCAUAACCAAAACUAAUUUGUACGUAAUAUCAGUUAGACACAAUGCUCCUUUUAAGAACCAAGUACAUCUUACAAAUGCAUGAACUAAACUGAAGAACGGCAAGACAUAUUUCUUCGCAAAAAUCAAUUGCGCUUGCGCGAAUUUCCAUCACGAUAUAAUACCAUGACUAUUUUUCUGUGGGAAGUAAAUAUCCAGUCUACUUGUGUUACGGCGUCAAAUCGAUCGGUUAAUCGCCCACUUUUCUCUCUCGCCAAUCCAAAUUGCGAGACAAUUAUUUUUAUAGCACUCUGUAUUACGUCGUGCUAUUUUAUGUUAUUUUACGUUAUUUUACGUAUGAUUAUGGUACAUUAGAUAAUUUAUCUAAAAUUUAUCUUGGAGGAAGAAUUUUCUAAAAUAUUCUAUCUAUUAUUUAAAAGAAGGUGAUGUAUCAAACCCUAUUGACUUUUCACCCUCAAACGCGUCCGGAUGCCCGUAGAAAAAUGAUCACUAUCGAGACACAGUAUUUUAACUGGCAUCGAAUACUUUUGCUUGCAGUCGGUUUAUGGCCUUACGAGCGAUCAAAUUUUGUGAAAUUUCAAUGUUAUUUCUUUCUUGCUAUUCCGACUAGUUUUAUUAUAGUUAUGCUUACACCUUUUUUCACUACAGAACGUACAUUUGACUUCAUUAUUAAGAACAUCGCAAUAGUAUGCUUUUUUAUGAUUUGCAUAAUUACACAUAAUUCGUUCUGGGUUAAUGCCCAUACUGUGAGAUGUUUAUUGGAAAAACUGCAGCACAUGUGCAACGAGCUAAAAGAUCAGAAUGAAAUCGCUAUAAUAAAAAAGUAUGGGAAUACUGCGAAACGUUAUACAACUGUACUUAUAUUGCUUGUCAUGUGCAGUCUAUUUCUUCUUCCUUUCUUACCAUUGUCCACGAGGAUUCUUGGUACUUUUCUACAUCUAAAUGAGUCUCAACAAUAUCGCAAACUGUAUAUAGUGACUGAAUACUUUGUCGAUCAACAAAAGAAUUUUUAUUUUAUUUUGCUACAUAUGUACGCGGCCACUUAUAUAGAAAUGACUGCACUGAUAGGACCAGGAGCGCUGAUAAUAGGAUACUUGAAACAUAUCUGUGGAAUGUUUAAAAUUGCUAGUUACCGUAUCGAGCAAGCAAUGUCGAGCAAUAUAUUUGACAAGAUUUAUCUACGUGAUAAAGUGGAGAUUCAUAAGGAGAUAAUUAGUGCUGUGGAUAUUCACUGUAAAGCUAUGGAGUUUGCCAACUUUCUUAUAUUCAACUUUAAAGACCCUUUCGUCAUGUCACAAAUGUUUAACGUACUUUGUUUGAGCCUUAAUCUGUACUGCAUUUUCCAAGCUGUAUCGUUUAAAGAUAAUAUAGAGGAAUUUUUAAUACACUUUACGCUUGCAACUGGUAUCUUUUUGUACUCGUUCGUAGCCAACUAUGCCGGACAAGAAAUUAUUGAUCACUAUAAUUAUAUAUUUUCUGCUGCAUAUAACUUUCAGUGGUAUCUAACGCCCAUAAGCAUACAAAAGUUGAUACUGUUUCUGCUGCAAAGAAGGAGCAAACCUUUCAAUCUGAAAAUGUUGAUCUUUAUACCAUCCAUGGAAUGCUUUGCAUCGUCGGCUUAUGGCCUCAUGAACGAUCAAAACUUGUGAAACUUCAAUUUUUUUCCCUUCUUGCUAUUUCGACUAGUUUUAUUGUAUUUUUGCUUACACCUUUUUUGACUACAGAAUGUACUUUCACCUUCAUUAUUAAAGUUUCUGCAAUAGUAUUCGUUUUUAUGGUAUGCAUGGUUACGCACAAUUCGUUCUGGGUUAAUGCCUGUACUGUAAGUCUUCCUGUAAUUUAAUCCAAAAAAUCAUGCUUAUAUCAAGUCAAGAAUUUUGGUGUACAACAAUCUUCCUCUCUCUCCCUUUCCAAGCUGUAUGAUAUAAAGUGGCAUAAUAUUUUGUUAAUCCGAUAGGUGAGAUGUUUAUUGAAAAAACUGCAGCACAUGUGCAACGAGCUAACAGAUCGGAAUGAAAUCGCUAUAAUAAAAAAGUAUGGGAAUAGUGCGAAACAUUAUACAACUGUACUUAUAUGUAAGAUAAUAUCAGUUGCUUUGCACUAUCAAAUUAAUUGUAUUAUAUAUAAUUGCGAUAAAAGUUCAAUUUUUUAAAUUUAAUUUAAUUUAUCAUGAUUAAAUAGUUUUUUACAUAUAAUAUGAUCGGCACAUUUUUAGUAAACCACAGAAGUAAUUACUGACAUGAAUUGUCUCAUAUAUAACUCACGCUGUGGUAUUGUGAAAUAAUAAGACUAAUUAAGUUUGACUCUGUUUUUUAACUUACAAUCAAAAACAUUCUUUUAGAUAUUUGACACAUUUUAAUAAAUAAAACAUUUUAAUGUUUUAUUUAUUAAAAUGUGUCAAAUAUCUUAUAUUCUUAUAUUCUUAUAUUCUUUAUAUGAUUUUCAAAUUAUCAUGAUUUUAUGGUUAUCAUAUGUACAUGUAACUUCUAUUAAAUAUAAGAAAAUUUAAACACCAUAUAUAGAAAGCCAGACAUUGCAAACUAUUCUGCGAGAACAUUAUAUCUAAUCUCCAAAAA